GACGAACGCUGGCUGCGUGCUUAACACAUGCAAGUCGCACGAAGUGGCGAACGGGUGAGUAACGCGUAAUCAACCUGCCCUUCAGAGGGGGACAACAGUUGGAAACGACUGCUAAUACCGCAUACUGAAGGCGGGGAUUGCGUCUGAUUAGCUAGUUGGGGGGGUAACGGCCCACCAAGGCGAUGAUCAGUAGCCGGGUGGAGAGGAUGAACGGCCACAUUGGGACUGAGACACGGACCAGACUGCGAAGGGAGGCAGCAGUGGGGAAUAUGCAGCAAUGGACGAAAGUCUGACGGAGCAACGCCGCGUGAGUGAUGACGGCCUGCGGGUUGUAAAGCUCUGUUAAUCGGGACGCGGUACCGGAAUAGAAAGAAACGGCUAACUACGUGCCAGCAGCCGCGGUAAUUC
rnacentral:rRNA from 1 species